GCAAGUCGAACGGAAACGAUGUCUAGCUUGCUAGACAGGCGUCGAGUGGCGUACGGGUGAGUAAAGCGUAUGAAUCUGCCCUGUAGUGGGGGACAACCGGGGGAAACUCGGGCUAAUACCGCAUACGUCUUACGAGAGAAAGCUGGGGACCUUAGGGCCGGGCGCUAUGGGAUGAGCCUACGUCGGAUUAGCUAGUUGGUGAGGUAAAGGCUCACCAAGGCGACGAUCCGUAGCUGGUCUGAGAGGAGGAGC
rnacentral:rRNA from 1 species